AGAGUUUGAUCAUGGCUCAGAUUGAACGCUGGCGGCAGGCUUAACACAUGCAAGUCGAACGGUAGCAGGAGAAAGCUUGCUUUCUUGCUGACGAGUGGCGGACGGGUGAGUAAUGCUUGGGAAUCUGGCUUAUGGAGGGGGAUAACGACGGGAAACUGUCGCUAAUACCGCGUAUUAUCGGAAGAUGAAAGUGCGGGACUGAGAGGCCGCAUGCCAUAGGAUGAGCCCAAGUGGGAUUAGGUAGUUGGUGGGGUAAAGGCCUACCAAGCCUGCGAUCUCUAGCUGGUCUGAGAGGAUGACCAGCCACACUGGAACUGAGACACGGUCCAGACUCCUACGGGAGGCAGCAGUGGGGAAUAUUGCGCAAUGGGGGGAACCCUGACGCAGCCAUGCCGCGUGAAUGAAGAAGGCCUUAGGGUUGUAAAGUUCUUUCGGUAUUGAGGAAGGUUGAUGUGUUAAUAGCACAUCAAAUUGACGUUAAAUACAGAAGAAGCACCGGCUAACUCCGUGCCAGCAGCCGCGGUAAUACGGAGGGUGCGAGCGUUAAUCGGAAUAACUGGGCGUAAAGGGCACGCAGGCGGUUAUUUAAGUGAGGUGUGAAAGCCCCGGGCUUAACCUGGGAAUUGCAUUUCAGACUGGGUAACUAGAGUACUUUAGGGAGGGGUAGAAUUCCACGUGUAGCGGUGAAAUGCGUAGAGAUGUGGAGGAAUACCGAAGGCGAAGGCAGCCCCUUGGGAAUGUACUGACGCUCAUGUGCGAAAGCGUGGGGAGCAAACAGGAUUAGAUACCCUGGUAGUCCACGCUGUAAACGCUGUCGAUUUGGGG
rnacentral:rRNA from 1 species